rnacentral:tRNA from 1 species
UUCCUGGUGGUCCAGUGGCUAAGACUCCUUGCUUCUAAUGCAGGGGGCCUGGGUUCGACCCCUGGUCAGGGAA